rnacentral:siRNA from 1 species
CCAAUUGCUGGUGCUGAUUGA